rfam:Triticum urartu cultivar G1812 contig89080, whole genome shotgun sequence.
UAAGUACUCCCUCCGUCCAGAAUUACUUGUCAUCAAAAUGGAUGUGUCUAGAACUAAAAUACAUCUAGAUACAUCCAUUUCAAUAACAAGUAUUCUCGGACGGAGGGAGUACAAG